GGCUUAUUAAUUCAGUUGGUAGAGCGUCGUGCUAAUAACGUGAAGGUCGUAGGUUCAAGACCUGCAUGGGCCA